GCGUGGAUGAUGAAGGCCUUAGGGUUGUAAAGUCCUUUUAACGGGGAAGAUAAUGACGGUACCCGUAGAAUAAGCCCCGGCUAACUUCGUGCCAGCAGCCGCGGUAAUACGAAGGGGGCUAGCGUUGCUCGGAAUUACUGGGCGUAAAGCGCACGUAGGCGGCUCUUUAAGUCGGGGGUGAAAUCCUGGAGCUCAACUCCAGAACUGCCUUCGAUACUGUAGAGCUUGAGUUCGGGAGAGGUGAGUGGAACUGCGAGUGUAGAGGUGAAAUUCGU
rnacentral:rRNA from 1 species